GAACGCUGGCGGCGUGCUUAACACAUGCAAGUCGAACGGUGAAGCCCUUCGGGGUGGAUCAGUGGCGAACGGGUGAGUAACACGUGGGCAAUCUGCCCUGCACUCUGGGACAAGCCUUGGAAACGAGGUCUAAUACCGGAUAUGACCCUGGAGCGCAUGCUCUGGGGUGUAAAGCUCCGGCGGUGCAGGAUGAGCCCGCGGCCUAUCAGCUUGUUGGUGGGGUGAUGGCCUACCAAGGCGACGACGGGUAGCCGGCCUGAGAGGGCGACCGGCCACACUGGGACUGAGACACGGCCCAGACUCCUACGGGAGGCAGCAGUGGGGAAUAUUGCACAAUGGGCGAAAGCCUGAUGCAGCGACGCCGCGUGAGGGAUGAAGGCCUUCGGGUUGUAAACCUCUUUCAGCAGGGAAGAAGCGCAAGUGACGGUACCUGCAGAAGAAGCACCGGCUAACUACGUGCCAGCAGCCGCGGUAAUACGUAGGGUGCGAGCGUUGUCCGGAAUUAUUGGGCGUAAAGAGCUCGUAGGCGG
rnacentral:rRNA from 1 species